rnacentral:rRNA from 1 species
CCGUUGGUCUUUCUCUGAACCCAAGGUAAUGACUAAUGGGAACAAUCGAGGACAUUUGUAUUGAGGCGCGAGGGGUGAAAUCCGGUGACCGUCUCAAGACAAACAAAGGCGAAAGCAUUUGUCAAGGAUGUUUUCAUUAAUCAAGAACGAAAGUUAGAGGAUCGAAGGCGAUCAGAUACCGCCCUAGUUCUAACCAUAAACGAUGCCAACCAGCAAUCCGAAAGGCUAAUACCAUGGUCGGUCGGGCAGCUUCCCCGGGAAACCAGAGUUUUUGGGUUCCGGGGGGAGUAUGGUUGCAAAACUGAAACUUAAAGGAAUUGACGGAAGGGCACCACCAGGAGUGGAGCCUGCGGCUUAAUUUGACUCAACACGGGAAACCUCACCAGGCCCAGACACUAUGUGGAUUGACAGAAUGAUAGCUCUUUCUCGAUUUAGUGGGUGGUGGUGCAUGGCCGUUCUUAGUUGGUGGAGUGAUUUGUCUGGUUAAUUC